ACAAUGAUAUAAAUUUUAUUA
rnacentral:snRNA from 1 species